AAUUCUAAACUGCCCUGCCUCAGCCAACAGCUAUCUGCAGCUCAUUUCCUGCUUUCUGGCCAUCUUAUCUCUGUCUUCAAGCAUUCCUCAGCUUUCUCUUUCCAGAACAGGAUUAUGAACCGACACCAUACAGAGGUAUUUGUAAGAAAGAAGGUGGAUGCCGGAAUCCUUUCUUCAAACAGAAGCUUACCAGUAAGUGCAGACUAAUACAACAGAGAGAUUGGAACUACAGCAAAGGUAUGAACAGGUGUCACGGGGACACAGAAGAAAGAGCAGUUACUCUUCCGGAAGGUUGGAGAAGAUUUUGUGAAGGUGGGGAUGUUUGAUUUGAACCUUGAAGAACAAGCAGAGACCCAAGAAGUACAGAAGAGGGGAGGUGGAAAUAGCAUGAACGAGGUGGGGCAUGCAAAUUCACUUUCAAUUGAUACAAUCUUUCACGUCAGAGCUGCUUCUUGUAACACAGAAGUUUUCAGAUUCUAUGAAAAGGUAUUGAAUGAAUUGAAGGCUCUGUUAAGGGGGCAACUAUCUCCCCUCCCCAUUCUCCUAUCAGCCCAUAAAACAGGAACUGACAACCUCUUGGAAGAAUUGGGAAGGAACUUUUCGAUUUUCUCUGUACAAUCUUCACUGGUUCCUCUCUGUGAGAGGAGGAGGGACCUCUUGGAUUGGUGUCGUUGGGAAAAGGGUAUCAAGUGUGCAUGGCUCAGCCUGUUCCUGGCUCUCUCUCUGGGACUGACCUGACUGCAAGCAGCAUGUUCUCUGUCUGCUCCUGCCUCCUCCAGGCAAUGAGCACCAGGGCGGGUCCAGCCCUUGCUUGGGAGGACUUCAAUAGUCCAGCUGCUCUGCCGCGAGUGGGUGAGUGAGUUCAAGUCAGAGGAGAAGACACAGAAAGCUCAUUUGGGCCUUGGGUCUUAGCCACAUCCUCCAGUCCAUCUGGACUAGCAAUAAAGCUGACAUUUUAAUCCCUA